rnacentral:lncRNA from 1 species
CUGGGUGGUUCCGUUGGUUAAGCGCCUGACUCUUGAUUUCAGCUCAGGUCAUGAUCUCACAGUUUGUGAGAUUGAGCCCCCCACUGGGGGCACUGUCAGCAUACAGCCUACUUGGCAUUCUCUCUCCUUCUCUCUUUGCCCUUUCUCUGCUCAUGUGCACAUACACUCUCCUCUUAAAAAAAAAUCAGUAGUUCUUUAGGGCAUUGAUGAAUUGUAAUAUUUUAAUUCAAAUCUUUCUUUUAGAGUAACUCAAUACAGUCCUGGCUAACAACAUCUGGAGCAUCAUGCCAUGUUCAUCAGACCACUGGCAGAAGACAUUUGUAGAAUCUACCCAGAUGGCAUGGAAAAGCUGACAGCUGUUUACCAGAAUGUUUGUCUGUAGUUCUCAGAAUGUUUCUCUAUCUAUGAAACAGCAUCAGUGUCUCAGGAAUUACCGCCCUCCUUCAUGCUUAUCCUGUGGUAUGGAGCCUGCCGGAUUCCAGGUUAUCUCCAGGGAGGACACACAUUUCGUAAGUAAUUUAAAACACUUUGUGUCUAUGUUAAAAUUGAAUCUAGUUUGUCACUUUGCAUAGAUGUUUUGUAACAUAUCUCCCACUAACAAAAUCACCAAUCUCUAUUCAUGGUAUUCCACUUGAAACGUAUUAGUUCAGAACCCUACAUUCUUUACGAAAUUUACUCCUGUCUCAGUGUAAAUCACAUAGUUGUGAUUAUCCUUUUACUGUGAUAGAAUAAUUGGGCUGACCUGUGUUUGCUCCCUUAUGUAUAACAUAAGCCCUGGAAAUUUGUGUUGAACAUACACUCUCAGGUCGCACCAAGUGCAGUUGUGACCCAAAGUGGAGGUCAAUAUGGUACCAAGACAGGAAACAAUAUCCCAUAAAAUGUUAGAUUCCUACAUAAACCCUGGAACAGGGAUGAGUCUAGAGGAUGUUAUGCCAAUGACCUAAGUCGUUCACAGAAGGACAAGUACUGGAUGACCCCACUUGUAUGAAGUAUCUAAAGGCAUCAGACUCCUAGAAGCAGAGGAGAAUGGUGAUUAAUUAACAGGGCCCGGGCAGGCAGAAAUGGAGAGUUGCUCAAUGGGGAUAAAGUCUCAGCUAUGCAGGGUAAAUAAGGUCUAGAUAUCUGUGUUUAAAGUACAUACUGGGUAUUGUACUUUAAAAUUUAAGAAGGUAGUCUUAAGUGUUCUUAACACAAUUUUUAACAAAUGCUUAAGGAAAAAAAACCUCAUUUUUGCUUUUGACCCAUGUUGCAGAGGCAUCUAAGUUGUUUAUGUACCAAAUGGUAACUAGUAAAAUAUGUUGCUUAUGAAUUUACAUAUGAAGUAAGCAUAAACCAGGCAUCACAUAAUCGAUUUAGUUAUUACUGGCAUUAGUUGUAAUCCCUUUCCUACUGUCCUUCCUUUGUUAUGAUAAAAAGCAAUGAACAUGCAUACAGUCCCAAUACUGGAGAACACAAGUAUCUGAAAUCUGUGUUUGUCUCCUCACAAUAAUUGCUUAUGUAAACCUUAACAACAUUACGUGUUUCAGACAUCAAUUAUAGUUUUAGCACUGUUUCGGCCUUAGGCCCUGUUCCUAUUUUCGGACCUCUCUCAUUUGGUACAAAAAUACUUUAGCUAAAAGCAGCUUUAGUAAUCAACAGAUAGCUUAUUAUUACGUACUUCAUAAUAAAUAACAAUAAUUAUAACA